rnacentral:lncRNA from 1 species
CAACGAGAACCCUAUAGAAUUACACCAAUGUUGUCGUUCUUAUUAUUUAUCCCAAUAUCUAAUAAUUUUGAAAAUCAAUUUGAUCGAAUUAACAACCAAAAUCAAAUCAUCGGAGAAUCACAUAACAAAAAUCUGUGUCUUGGUGGAACAUGACGUUUGUUGUUCAUAGCAUUAAGUCGACCUACAAACGAAUGACCUUCAAAGCUAUACAACAACCCAUGAUUGUGAAGUCAAUAUCUUACAUCAAUCUUUCAAUCAAAACCAUUUCUUAAAUAUAAAUGUGAAAAAAGAUUAAUAAAUCUGAUUAGUAAAAAAUACAUCACCACAACUCUUACACUCGAGUUAUCCCAUUAGUAAAAAAUUAAACCAAAAAACGCAUGACAAAAU